rnacentral:rRNA from 1 species
GACGUAGGGGGCGAGCGUUGUCCGGAUUUAUUGGGCGUAAAGCGCGCGUAGGCGGCCGCUCAAGUCGGGUGUGAAAACCCGGGGCUCAACCCCGGGCCUGCAUUCGAUACUGGGUGGCUAGAGGCAGGCAGGGGAGAGUGGAAUUCCUGGUGUAGCGGUGAAAUGCGCAGAUAUCAGGAGGAACACCGGUGGCGAAGGCGGCUCUCUGGGCCUGUCCUGACGCUCAGGCGCGAAAGCGUGGGGAGCAAACAGG